ACCUUCCGGCUGACAUUUGAGCCCUGCUUUCAGCACGGUCAAGCCUUUCGGAGGCAGCCAGUAUAUGGCUUGUAUCAAACUCUAUAUUUAGGAAGAACAACUGUGAGCUAUGACAGGAAUUCUCUUUAACACUUAGCCUUACACCGAGUUUCCCUCCAGCCCCGAGCGGGGAGCAGCUCUCAGUACCGAGUGAGGCACCGAGCACUUGAGCUAUUUCAGCCACAUGCAAAGCAUCGGAAUUGAGAUCACAGCUCAGAGGACACCGGGCGCCCCUUCCACCUUCUGAGGAACCUUGUAUUCUUGCACCUGGCUGCCUGGGACUUUCCUUAAGCAGUAAACAAAUACAUAGAGCAGGGAUAAGACCCCGUGAAUAUGUCAAAACAGCCGGUUUCCAAUGUCAGAGCCAUCCAGGCAAAUAUCAACAUCCCAAUGGGAGCCUUUCGGCCAGGAGCUGGGCAACCCCCCAGAAGAAAAGAGUGUACUCUGGAAGCGGAGGAGG